CAGGUUCAAACGCUUGAAUCUGCUGCUGCUGCUGUGCCAGUUCAGUUACAGCGGAUCCAUCACUAGAUCUGUGAAAGGAAUAAAGGGAGGCAACGCCACCCUGUCAUGUCAAUUUGAAGCCAAAGACAUUCAUUAUAUUGAUUUAAGCAGGUUAACAAGCAUCCUUUCUUGUCAGAAUGAAGAAUGUGAAAGUGAAAGUGAAAGUCAGAAUGGGAGAGUAUUUAAAACAGGAUCAUGUGCCAUGAUUAUCAAGAAUCUGAGACUGAGUGAUGCUGGGAAGUACAUUUUAAGAGUCUAUUAUACUAAUACUCAGGCAGAAGUGAAGCGUCAAAUCAUGACAUACCGACUUCAUUUUCAGGAUGAGAUUUCAGUGAAGGAAGGGGCGGAGCUGAAGUUGGACGUUCUGUUGCCCAAUGCUUAUAAAGUAGUGCACUGGACCAAAAGAAGCACAGGACGGAAGGAGGACUGGAAUAGAAGCCUUGGGGUCAGAAGUGAUCGAAUGACCAUCAGAGAUGGAAACCUGAUUAUUAAUAAUUUUACAGGCACUGACGCAGGAACAUAUGAGGUUCUGGACACUGUAGGAGAAAUCCUGAUCAUGGUGACAG